GUGGGGAAUCUUAGACAAUGGGGGCAACCCUGAUCUAGCCAUGCCGCGUGAGUGAUGAAGGCCUUAGGGUUGUAAAGCUCUUUCAGUGGGGAAGAUAAUGACGGUACCCACAGAAGAAGCCCCGGCUAACUCCGUGCCAGCAGCCGCGGUAAUACGGAGGGGGCUAGCGUUGUUCGGAAUUACUGGGCGUAAAGCGCACGUAGGCGGAUCGGAAAGUUGGGGGUGAAAUCCCAGGGCUCAACCCUGGGACUGCCUUCAAAACUAUCGGUCUGGAGUCCGAGAGAGGUGAGUGGAAUUCCGAGUGUAGAGGUGAAAUUCGUAGAUAUUCGGAGGAACACCAGUGGCGAAGGCGGCUCACUGGCUCGGUACUGACGCUGAGGUGCGAAAGCGUGGGGAGCAAACAGGAUUAGAAACCCCGGUAGUCC
rnacentral:rRNA from 1 species